rnacentral:misc_RNA from 1 species
UGUGUCGCAGAGCCCUUUUACU